AAGUCGAACGAUGAAGCCCAGCUUGCUGGGUGGAUUAGUGGCGAACGGGUGAGUAACACGUGGGUGAUCUGCCCUGCACUUCGGGAUAAGCCUGGGAAACUGGGUCUAAUACCGGAUAGGACCUCGGGAUGCAUGUUCCGGGGUGGAAAGGUUUUCCGGUGCAGGAUGGGCCCGCGGCCUAUCAGCUUGUUGGUGGGGUAACGGCCCACCAAGGCGACGACGGGUAGCCGGCCUGAGAGGGCGACCGGCCAAACUGGGACUGAGACACGGCCCAGACUCCUACGGGAGGCAGCAGUGGGGAAUAUUGCACAAUGGGCGCAAGCCUGAUGCAGCGACGCCGCGUGAGGGAUGACGGCCUUCGGGUUGUAAACCUCUUUCAGUACCGACGAAGCGCAAGUGACGGUAGGUACAGAAGAAGCACCGGCCAACUACGUGCCAGCAGCCGCGGUAAUACGUAGGGUGCGAGCGUUGUCCGGAAUUACUGGGCGUAAAGAGCUCGUAGGCGGUUUGUCGCGUCGUCUGUGAAAACCCGCAGCUCAACUGCGGGCUUGCAGGCGAUACGGGCAGACUUGAGUACUGCAGGGGAGACUGGAAUUCCUGGUGUAGCGGUGAAAUGCGCAGAUAUCAGAGGAACACCGGUGGCGAAGGCGGGUCUCUGGGCAGUAACUGACGCUGAGGAGCGAAAGCGUGGGUAGCGAACAGGAUUAGAUACCCUGGUAGUCCACGCCGUAAACGGGGGCGCUAGGUGUGGGUUUCCUUCCACGGGAUCCGUGCCGUAGCUAACGCAUUAAG
rnacentral:rRNA from 1 species